rnacentral:lncRNA from 1 species
AGAUUCUCCCAGCCCUCUGCCUGAGGAUUUCAGUGGUGUUCUUGGGGAUACAAGCAAACAAGGAGGAGUCCCCUUUUGACCAUCAUUACCAUACAAUUCCUUGGGGAAGAACCUGACAGCAGCUGUCCCCUUCAAUCACCAUAGCAACAUGACUAAAGAAGAUCUUCUCUCCUGAUCUCUUAAGAAGGUCCAGAACGUUGGGGGAAAGUGUGUCUGCCCGGAGUUCAAAGCCAAA